rnacentral:rRNA from 1 species
UACGUAGGUGGCAAGCGUUGUCCGGAUUUACUGGGCGUAAAGAGCGAGCAGGCGGUCGUUCAAGUCGCGUGUGAAAGCCCCCGGCUCAACUGGGGAGGGUCACGCGAUACUGAUCGACUGGAAGGCAGGAGAGGGUAGUGGAAUUCCCGGUGUAGUGGUGAAAUGCGUAGAUAUCAGGAGGAAUACCGAUGGCGAAGGCAGGUCUCUGGGCUGACACUGACGCUCAUGCACGAAAGCGUGGGGAGCAAACAGG